rnacentral:rRNA from 1 species
GACGAACGCUGGCGGCGUGCUUAACACAUGCAAGUCGAGCGGUAAGGCCCUUUCGGGGGUACACGAGCGGCGAACGGGUGAGUAACACGUGGGUGACCUGCCCUCAGCUCUGGGAUAAGCCUGGGAAACUGGGUCUAAUACUGGAUAUGACUCCACGGUGCAUGUCGUGGGGUGGAAAGCCUUGUGCGGCUGAGGAUGGGCCCCGCGGCCUAUCAGCUUGUUGGUGGGGUGANGGCCUACCAAGGCGACGACGGGUAGCCGGCCUGAGAGGGCGACCGGCCACACUGGGACUGAGAUACGGCCCAGACUCCUACGGGAGGCAGCAGUGGGGGAAUCUUGCGCAAUGGGCGAAAGCCUGACGCAGCGACGCCGCGUGAGGGAUGACGGCCUCGGUUGUAA